GAUGAACGCUGACAGAAUGCUUAACACAUGCAAGUCGACUCGAGUCUUCGGACUUGGGUGGCGCACGGGUGAGUAACGCGUAAAGAACUUGCCUCUUAGACCGGGACAACAUCUGGAAACGGAUGCUAAUACCGGAUAUUAUGGUUUUUUCGCAUGGAGGAAUCAUGAAAGCUAGAUGCGCUAAGAGAGAGCUUUGCGUCCCAUUAGCUGGUUGGUGAGGUAACGGCCCACCAAGGCAAUGAUGGGUAGCCGGCCUGAGAGGGUGAACGGCCACAAGGGGACUGAGACACGGCCCUUACUCCUACGGGAGGCAGCAGUGGGGAAUAUUGGACAAUGGACCGCAAGUCUGAUCCAGCAAUUCUGUGUGCACGAUGACGUUUUUCGGAAUGUAAAGUGCUUUCAGUCGGGAAGAAGUCAGUGACGGUACCGACAGAAGAAGCGACGGCUAAAUACGUGCCAGCAGCCGCGGUAAUACGUAUGUCGCAAGCGUUAUCCGGAUUUAUUGGGCGUAAAGCGCGUCUAGGCGGCAAGGAAAGUCUGAUGUGAAAAUGCGGAGCUCAACUCCGUAUGGCGUUGGAAACUGCCUUACUAGAGUACUGGAGAGGUAGGCGGAACUACUAGUGUAGAGGUGAAAUUCUUAGAUAUUUGUAGGAUUGCCGAUGGGGAAUCCAGCCUACUGGACUGAUCUUGACGCUAAAGCUCUAAAUGCGUGGUGUAUCAACAGUAUGUAAUACCUUGGUGUCCAAGGGUGGAAUUCCACAUGUGUUUUUGUCUUUAUCGAUAUCUUGAACUUCGAUGGGGGGAACACAGGACCUGAUGUUUGGUGCCCUUUAUUGAUGGUGAUUUAAUGCCCUCCCCGCUGUAUUCUAUCAAUAAUGAUAGACUGAUGUGUGUAUUGUAUUUAUUUAUGUAUAUGUGUGAUGAUGUAUGAUUUUUUUGUGUGUACUGUACUGCUGUUGAUGAUGUGUGUGUAUUUGUUUUGUGUUAUGUAGAUAUUUAC
rnacentral:rRNA from 1 species